rnacentral:tRNA from 1 species
GCCCUUGUAGCUCAGCGGUAGAGCGACACAUUGGUAAUGUGUAGGCCCCGGGUUCAAUUCCCGGCGAGGGCUCCA